rnacentral:rRNA from 1 species
GAUGAACGCUGGCGGCGUGCCUAAUACAUGCAAGUAGAACGCUGAAGGAAGGAGCUUGCUCUUUCUGGAUGAGUUGCGAACGGGUGAGUAACGCGUAGGUAACCUGCCUGGUAGCGGGGGAUAACUAUUGGAAACGAUAGCUAAUACCGCAUAAAAUUGAUUAUUGCAUGAUAGUCAAUUAAAAGGUGCAACUGCACCACUACCAGAUGGACCUGCGUUGUAUUAGCUAGUUGGUGGGGUAACGGCUCACCAAGGCGACGAUACAUAGCCGACCUGAGAGGGUGAUCGGCCACACUGGGACUGAGACACGGCCCAGACUCCUACGGGAGGCAGCAGUAGGGAAUCUUCGGCAAUGGACGGAAGUCUGACCGAGCAACGCCGCGUGAGUGAAGAAGGUUUUCGGAUCGUAAAGCUCUGUUGUAAGAGAAGAACGAGUGUGAGAGUGGAAAGUUCACACUGUGACGGUAUCUUACCAGAAAGGGACGGCUAACUACGUG